rnacentral:misc_RNA from 1 species
GAGGGUUCUGAAGUCCAGGCAUACGCUGUGAUACGCUGCUUGCUUGCUUGGCUUUUUCUUGUUCGACCUCGCCUCGUGUUGCCUUUCGUGGUCGGAAUUUUUACCCUCCGAAUUUAGACAAUUUAUCUGAAAUCUCGGCCUUUUUCUGAUCUACAUGCAUUACUCUUCGAGGUAUAAGUAAUGGAAGGUCAUCACCAGCAGUCUAAUGCAACCAAUAUGCACCAGCAGCACACAAAUCCAGAACCAACCACUAAAAAUCGUAGUGCAGGAGGAGGAGGUGCAGGCAAAACAAGUAAAAAGAGGAAAAGGAAUCAAGAUCUUGGUCCAGGAGCCCCUCGUCAACCUGUUAAUGGUUAUGUACGGUUCCUAAACGAAAGAAGAGAACAAGUACGAGCUGCCAAUCCAAGUGCAGGUUUUGCUGAUAUUAUGAAAAUAAUGGCCCAAGAAUGGACUCAACUACCUGCUGAGGAAAAACAAAAAUAUAUGCAAGCUGCUGAACAGGACCGUCAACGCUAUCAAAAAGAAUUGCAAGAAUAUCAACAGACAGAAGCUUACAAAAGCUAUGUUCAACAGCAACAACAGCAACAUGUUCAACAACAAUUACAUUUGCAACAACAACAAAGACAAGCUAUGCAAGCUACUCAUCAAUCUCAGUCACAGCAACAACCGGCGGCACAUUCAUCUCACAGCCAAGUCCAGGCUCAGCCAUACAUUCAACAAAUCCAGAGUUACAACCCCCAGUUGCAUAUUGUCCAACAUAUGCAGCCAGGGCAACAUCAACAGCAUGGCGAUAGAAGUAACAAUGCCGCUGGUCACCGUCCUGAUGGGUCAGGAAAUCAAGUCGGUGUGUUCGACAUUCCCAUCUUCACGGAAGAAUUUCUCGAUCACAACAAAGUCCGAGAAACAGAGCUGCGGCAGCUGCGGAAAGCUUCAGCCGAGUACGAGGAGCAGAAUAGCGCCCUGCGGAAGCACGUCGAGACUCUUCAAGCGGCCGUCAGUCGACUGGAAGCGGAAACAGAGCAGCAGCGACGACACAGCGCCGCGCUACAGCAUCACCUCGACAGCCUGCGCGAUGUGCUGGCCAACAGUUUUGCCCAUUUGCCCCUUCCAGGUUAUAAUGAGACUCCGACGUCACAAACGGUGGAUAACUACAUGGCCCAUUUGCGCUCCAUAAUCCAGGAAGGAUCGCCUGAAAAUGCUGGAUUGAUUGCCGCCGCUCGCGAUAUCAUAUCGCGUCUGAAUUAUUCCGCCUAAUAUCUUCUGAUUUGACUACGACCCGCCACACUGACAGUUUUCUCUUCCUCUUCCGCAAGAAAAAUCUAUCACACGCGGUUGGACUCGACGUUUGGGAUUCUUCUGGAUCCUAGCUAGCUUUCACGAAUUCUCUGCGGCAACUUUGUUUUCUUUUUAAAUUUUGAUUUCCCGCAUAGAUCAACGUUUUGUUGUGAGAGUACAAAUAGUAGCGCGACUGGUACCCCCUUGUCCCAUUCUUCUUUCUCUUAUACAACGUAGAUCGAUUCCAAACUCUUAAAAAAAACUUACAAUGAGACUUCUUCUUUGCCUGCGUGCUUACAGUGAACAUCCUGCUCGUUCACCCUUACCUUCGUAUCACGAGUAUUCUACCUGGUUGUAUGAUUUGUGUGCUUGUUUCCCCUACUACUCCCCCAUUACUACGAAAUUCAGACUGAACAAAAUCGGACAUAUUUCUCUCCCUCGAAUCUUCCUUUUUUUCCUGUAAAGCCUCAUUUGUAAUCCUUUCCGCAGUUUUUUUUAUGUUGAGCGAUUUUUAAAUUUUUUCUUUCUUUUUCGUCUGUAGAAAAAUGAUACUGAAAAUCGGUAGGAAGGAAAAGUUCCGAGUGCUUCGGAACCAGUCUGUCUAAAAGAAGAUAACAAAAACACACUAUAUACCUAGCAAUACGACAUUCAUGAAAACGCGACUAGAUAUACAAAAUUAAAAACAAAACGAAAUUUAGCUGACUGGUUUCGAGUGAAUUUAGAGCUGUCACUAUGAAAAAGAGGAAAGUUUGAUUGAAAAUUGUGUGCCAUGGGUCAUCCUAAAAAGAUCACGCUAGCUCUUUGAAAGGCUCUUGUUUUUUUGCUCGUUUCGUUCCCCCUCCCUACCCCCUCCUUUUAAUUAAAUGCAUAUUGCCGUUAUGUUGAAGUGCUGAUCCCAAGUGAUGAAAUUCUUGCGACCUGUCCGCUCGUCCGAUUUUGUCUUUUGGUUUGCUUCCAUCUCGCCCUGAUAUUAUUAGAUGAUGAAUUUGGUUGAG